rnacentral:rRNA from 1 species
ACGCACGCUGGCGGCGUGCUUAACACCUGCAAGUCGAACGGAAAGGCCCUGCUUUUGUGGGGUGCUCGAGUGGCGAACGGGUGAGUAACACGUGAGUAACCUGCCCUUGACUUUGGGAUAACUUCAGGAAACUGGGGCUAAUACCGGAUAGGAGCUCCUGCUGCAUGGUGGGGGUUGGAAAGUUUCGGCGGUUGGGGAUGGACUCGCGGCUUAUCAGCUUGUUGGUGGGGUAGUGGCUUACCAAGGCUUUGACGGGUAGCCGGCCUGAGCGGGUGACCGGCCACAUUGGGACUGGGAUACGGCCCAGACUCCUACGGGAGGCAGCAGUGGGGAAUAUUGCACAAUGGGCGGAAGCCUGAUGCAGCAACGCCGCGUGCGGGAUGACGGCCUUCGGGUUGUAAACCGCUUUCGCCUGUGACGAAGCGUGAGUGACGGUAAUGGGUAAAGAAGCACCGGCUAACUACGUG